rnacentral:rRNA from 1 species
UACGGAGGAUCCAAGCGUUAUCCGGAAUCAUUGGGUUUAAAGGGUCCGUAGGCGGUUUAAUAAGUCAGUGGUGAAAGCCCAUCGCUCAACGGUGGAACGGCCAUUGAUACUGUUAAACUUGAAUUAUUAGGAAGUAACUAGAAUAUGUAGUGUAGCGGUGAAAUGCUUAGAGAUUACAUGGAAUACCAAUUGCGAAGGCAGGUUACUACUAAUGGAUUGACGCUGAGUGAGCGAAAGCCAGGGGAGCAAACGGG